rnacentral:pre_miRNA from 1 species
GUGUUCUCUGCAAACGGUUUUCACCGUGAUCUAAGGGUUUCAGCUUCUGAGAUCAUUGUGAAGGCCACUUGUCGCGAACUA